rnacentral:rRNA from 1 species
GGACGAACGCUGGCGGCGUGCUAACACAUGCAAGUCGAGCGAUGAAGCUCCUCGGGAGUGGAUUAGCGGCGGACGGGUGAGUAACACGUGGGCAACCUGCCUGUAGAGAGGAAUAGCCAUUCGAAAGGAUGACUAAUACCUCAUAAUAUUGUAGCUUCGCAUGAAGCAACAACCAAAGGAGCAAUCCACUACAAGAUGGGCCCGCGGCGCAUUAGCUAGUUGGUGGGGUAACGGCUCACCAAGGCGACGAUGCGUAGCCGACCUGAGAGGGUGAUCGGCCACAUUGGGACUGAGACACGGCCCAGACUCCUACGGGAGGCAGCAGUGGGGAAUAUUGCACAAUGGGGGAAACCCUGAUGCCAGCAACGCCGCGUGAGUGAUGACGGUCUUCGGAUUGUAAAGCUCUGUCUUCAGGGACGAUAAUGACGGUACCUGAGGAGGAAGCCACGGCUAACUACGUGCCAGCCGCCGC